UUGUAACCGUCUCAGCUGGCGAUCACCGCCUCUGGGUCUCCAGAUGGGCCGGCCACGUUGGGCUUGGCCCAUUAGCUCACUGUAUGUAGGCUGGUCCUCACAUUCUUUCCCCCUUAUAAUAAUUUCAUCCUCGAAAUUUACAUACCUUAAUUCUUAAACAAACGAAGUUACUUAGUCUUUUAUCUAACAUUCUACCAUGUUUCCGCUGCGCACUCUGAUUCAAAACACUAAAAUCCUUGGAUUCACUAAUAACUUUUGAUCAAAAUACUACUUGUAUUAUGAACUAAAGAGAUCCAUAUUUACAAUUUUCCAAGCACAGCCUAAAAAAAAAAGACUCGUUGAUUCUUGUCCCCUAAUUUACCACGAACACAUAUAAUCUAGAUUAACUCUCCGGUCAAUUGAUCCAUUCAAAAUCAUCAUAUGGGCUAGUUACUAUAAUUCCCAAAUGUGUAGAAUCU
rnacentral:lncRNA from 1 species